CUACGUGCCAGCAGCCGCGGUAAUACGGAAGGUCCAGGCGUUAUCCGGAUUUAUUGGGUUUAAAGGGAGCGUAGGCUGGAGAUUAAGUGUGUUGUGAAAUGUAGACGCUCAACGUCUGACUUGCAGCGCAUACUGGUUUCCUUGAGUACGCACAACGUUGGCGGAAUUCGUCGUGUAGCGGUGAAAUGCUUAGAUAUGACGAAGAACUCCGAUUGCGAAGGCAGCUGACGGGAGCGCAACUGACGCUGAAGCUCGAAGGUGCGGGUAUCGAACAGGAUUAGAUACCCUGGUAGUCCGCACAGUAAACGAUGGAUGCCCGCUGUUGGUACCUGGUAUCAGCGGCUAAGCGAAAGCAUUAAGCAUCCCGCCUGGGGAGUACGCCGGCAACGGUGAAACUCAAAGGAAUUGACGGGGGCCCGCACAAGCGGAGGAACAUGUGGUUUAAUUCGAUGAUACGCGAGGAACCUUACCCGGGCUUGAA
rnacentral:rRNA from 1 species